rnacentral:rRNA from 1 species
UCGCCGAAAGGCGAAUUAAUACCCCAUGUGAUUAGAGAGGACAUCCUUUCGAAAUUAAAGUCGGGGCAACCUGACACUUCUUGUGGGGCCCGCGGCCUAUCACCUAGUUGGUGAGGUAACGGCUCACCAAGGCUUUGACGGGUAGCUGGUCUGAGAGGACGACCAGCCACACUGGGACUGAGACACGGCCCAGACACCUACGGGUGGCAGCAGUCGAGAAUUUUUGACAAUGGGGGAAACCCUGAUCGAGCGACUCCACGUGGAGGAUGAAGGUCUUCGGAUUGUAAACUCCUGUCAUUGGGGAACAAGGUGCAUACGUUAACUGCGUGUGCAUUGAUAGUACCCGAAGAGGAAGAGACGGCUAACUCUGUGCCACCAGCCGCGGGUAAUACAGAAGUCUCAAGCGUUGUUCGGAUUCAUUGGGCGUAAA